rnacentral:rRNA from 1 species
CAGUCGCCGCGGGAAUACGUAGGUGGCAAGCGUUGUCCGGAAUUAUUGGGCGUAAAGGGCUCGCAGGCGGUUUCUUAAGUCUGAUGUGAAAGCCCCCGGCUCAACCGGGGAGGGUCAUUGGAAACUGGGAAAUUUGAGUGCAGAAGAGGAGAGUGGAAUUCCACGUGUAGCGGUGAAAUGCGUAGAGAUGUGGAGGAACACCAGUGGCGAAGGCGACUCUCUGGUCUGUAACUGACGCUGAGGAGCGAAAGCGUGGGGAGCGAACAGGAUUAGAGACCCCUGUAGUCCCUGUCUCUUAUAC